rnacentral:rRNA from 1 species
GCCUAAAGCGUCCGUAGCCUGCUUUGUAAGUUUUCGGUUAAAUCCAUACGCUCAACGUAUGGGCUGCCGGAAAUACUGCAAAGCUAGGGAGUGGGAGAGGUAGACGGUACUCGGGAGGAAGGGGUAAAAUCCUUUGAUCUCUCGAUGACCACCUGUGGCGAAGGCGGUCUACCAGAACACGUCCGACGGUGAGGGAUGAAAGCUGGGGGAGCAAACCGGAUUAGAUACCCGGGUAGUCCCAGCUGUAAACUAUGCAAACUCAGUGAUGCAUUGGCUUGAUGCUAAUGCAGUGUUGCAGGGAAGCCGUUAAGUUUGCCGCCUGGGAAGUACGUACGCAAGUAUGAAACUUAAAGGAAUUGGCGGGGGAGCACCACAAGGGGUGAAGCCUGCGGUUCAAUUGGAGUCAACGCCAGAAAUCUUACCCGGAGAGACAGCAGAAUGAAGGUCAAGCUGAAGACUUUACCAGACAAGCUGAGAGGUGGUGCAUGGCCGUCGCCAGCUCGUGCCGUGAGAUGUCCUGUUAAGUCAGGUAACGAGCGAGAUCCUUGCCUCUAGUUGCCACCAUUACUCUCAGGAGUAGUGGGGCGAAUUAGCGGGACCGCCGUAGUUAAUACGGAGGAAGGAAGGGGCCACGGCAGGUCAGUAUGCCCCGAA